GGCUACAUUCAUCAGCUAAAGUUAGCCAACUAUUGCUUUUAAUGCUAAUGUUUAUCAGUUAGACUUAGCUACACGCACUCUACUCUGUGUGGACGGUGACAUUUGGUUUUCCAGACGAUUGGAAUAAUAUUUAAAUCACUAUUUCGACUUUAUUCGCAGCUGCUGAAAAACUGCACUAACCGUCAGCCAUCUGUGGCGGCGUCAUUCCGCUAUAGUGAGAGUCGCUGGGUCAGCUGCGACUAAUAAUGUGGUACAGUGGAGAGAAAUGACUCGCACUUCACUGCACCGUAACAGCAACUGCAAGUUAGCCCGGCUGUGAGCCGCCCAUGAUGGAGAAACGGAGUCAGUAACCCGUGAAACUAUCGUGUUUGCCUCCAAGUUCAAGAUGAUGUCCAUGACCUUUGAGGUGUCGAGUAGCGUUACGCUACUGUUUGACUUCUGGGAUGUGCACGGGCCUGCAGGUAUGGUGCUGUCAGUGUUCGUGGUGUUGCUGCUGACAGUCUUCUACGAGUUGCUCAAAGUGUGGAGGGUGUGGUUGAGCUGUCACUCCAAGCUGGCUGAGCCGCAGUCACCGUACGCCAUCACUCAGUCCCACCUCACCGAAAGCAGCUCCGUGCUAGAGAGCAGCCCCUCCGAAUCCUCGCUGACCCCCAUAGAUUCACCAAGUCCAGCUCCCAGCACCAGGAAUAGCUGGUUGCUGCACGGUAUCCAGACAGUGCUCCACAUGCUGCAGGUGUCUCUGGGCUACAUGCUGAUGCUGUGCGUCAUGUCCUACAACACGUGGAUCUUCCUCGGGGUCAUCGUGGGCUCCGUCCUCGGCUAUUUCAUCUCUUUCCCUCUGCUGGGUCAGAUGUGACGGCAUGGACAGAGAUCAAAGGCGGCUGGUUUUUGGUCUCUUGAUAUAGAAGGAUCGCGUACCCUGGAAUCUAAAUGGAAAACCACUUGAGGGACGAUAGCUACAGUUAAUAUUUGGGAAUUACUGUUGGAGCAUGAAAGGGUGAACUCCCUCUAUUCUACGCUAAUGCACAAAACUCAUCAGGAUGUGGAAGCUGACGUUUUCAUGCAAAAAAAUCAUCACCUGUUUCAGUCUUCAAUCUCUGAUUUCUCAGUUUGGGACUCAGGUUUUUUAGAUUUCACAUACAUAAUUUCUGGAAAUACAAAGAUAUCAGGCCUUGACCAAAGGGACGCGUAUGAUUUCAUUAUUACCACUAGCUGGUUCUUCUGUGUUAAACCCAAACAAGUGAGUAAUGUGUGUCCUACAAGGGAGCAGAGGAAUGCCUGCCUGUAACUCUUGACUUUUCUAUUAUUUAUCCCAAAACUGUAGAUUUAAAGAGGUGAAACGUCCAUACCAGUAGAGCUAAGCGAUGGAUUAAGUAGUUGUCUGUAGUUUGGGGAAUAUUCUUAUUCUGAUUUCAUGUUUUUGUGGUCAACACUAACAGACAUUUAUAGCUACUAACAGCUCACUGUAUUUUUAGGAGGUAUGACACUACAGGUGAUUCAAAGAUAGAAAAGGGUAUCUCUGACAAUGUUGCUGAAACUCAUUCAAUUUUCUGUGUAGCUGCAGUGUUAUGAAGUGAAACUUAAAAGCAGAACAGCACUUUAGAGAUUUACAGUCAGAGGUCAUAAGAUGGUUUGAGGAACUGACUCAAUCAUAUGAUUUGUGCUUGUAAACCCUGCUGAUGUGUCAUCUAACUGACCAGAGUCAUUCUCACACGCCCAUCAGAGGAAGGUGAACGUCGGUCAUGUGGUUCUGUGGCAAUCAUUUACAAACCACAAAUGUACAAGGAAGAAGAAAUGUUUCAGUGCCUUGAAACUGAGUUUUCAAAUGUGUUUUGUGAGGAUUUAAAACUCUAUUUUUGAACUGAUUCUGACUAUAAAAAAAACAAAAAUAUUCAAAUAUGUGUAAUUUUCUCAGUGAUGGUUUUCUGUCAAAUGAAAAUCUUGAAAGACUUUGAUGACAAUAAUAAAGAAUAAUUGAUGAAAUAUUUUUAUUCAUCCAUAUAUUUUUAAAAUAUAUUUCAGGACAAUAAAACUACUAAAAAUACAAGUCAAAGAGAGCUGCUGACAACCAGAGAGGUUUUAUAAUAAAUAAACAGGAGAAGGUGACAGUGGUCCUCGAUUAGAAGCAAUGGUUCUUAGGUAUAGCUCUAAAGGAAACAGACAUAACAGAUUAAACAAAUGUGCCUUUCAUACAGAGGCAAUAGGUGAUUUCACAACAGGAGACUGACUCAUAAAAAUGAAAGGAGAUUCUCAGCAAGUUCCAACAGAAGUUAAAAUAAGUCACCCAUUAAAAACAUGGAGUAGCACUUUAAUUUACAAGUAAUGAAGUUUCAUAUAAUUUCCUAGAAAGAAACUGAGUCGUAACUGCAAAGUCACAGGAAGGUUCCUAGGGAAGACAUUUGGCACAAUAAUUGGGAGACAUAAAAAAUGUAAUCUAACAAAUGUAUUUGUUUACCUAAAAUUGUCAUUCUUUUUCUCUCCAUAUUGUAAAUGGAAGACAGUUACCUCUAUGUUCUUUGCAUAUACAACACCUAUUGUAUAUCAUGUCAACUGGUUGGCUUUGGUCCAGACUGCAAUAUCUCAACAGCUUAGAUUGGUUGCAGUGAAAUUCGUGAGUAGUGACUUUGUUCAUCCUUUGUUAUCACUUUGGCAAUCCCCUAACUUUUCAUUUAACAACACCGUCUGGUCUACAUUUUAACUUGUCGAAUACUCUCAGAGUUAAUGACGUUACUUAGCCUUAGCUGUACUUUGUGUUUAGCAUUCAUUAGCAUAUGUUAGCAUGCAAACACACUAAACUUAGAUGGUUAACAUGGUAAUCAUUAUACCUGCUUAGCAUCAGUGUGUAAGCAAUGUAAUUGUAAGCAUAAUGCAUGCUGACGUCAUUCGGUGUAAUGCUGAAGUGAAGGUCUAAGGAUCUAGGAUGCUGUCUGUUGUACAGAUUAUAAAGCUUUUAGGUACAUUUGUGAUUUCUGGUUUUGGGAUAUAUAAAUAAAACUGACUUGACCUAACAGUGUGGUGGUAAACUUAUAUUAUAACUUGUAUACUAAUUCAAUUUAAUUGCUACCGUAAAUACAGUAGAGAGCCUUUCAGUUAGUGGAUGGCAUUUCUGCUGAACAUGCUAAAUGCUACAUUUGUCAACAGCCAAGCGUACAAUAUGAAGCAUUCCUUUAAAGGAAAACACCUGCUUAUAUGUUUAUUAAUGCAACUGAACUACUGAAACUCAAAUAUCUGUAUCAGAUCAUUGCUUUUUUUCAUUCUUUUUUUCCCCUUUCACUUGCCUUAUACUUAGCAACAACUUACAUACACAUACUUCUCUCCAGGAAACUUCCUAGGAAACUAUACAGACACAUAAAAUAAAGCGUCACCAAAAUUGUGGAUUUUCCCAACAGAGUGUAGACUGAUGUAUUUCAGGAAUUAAAGUAACAUUAACAG